rnacentral:rRNA from 1 species
AUUGAACGCUAGCGGGAUGCUUUACACAUGCAAGUCGAACGGCAGCGCGGACUUCGGUCUGGCGGCGAGUGGCGAACGGGUGAGUAAUGUAUCGGAACGUGCCCAGUAGCGGGGGAUAACUACGCGAAAGCGUAGCUAAUACCGCAUACGCCCUACGGGGGAAAGCAGGGGAUCGUAAGACCUUGCACUUUUGGAGCGGCCGAUACCGGAUUAGCUAGUUGGUGAGGUAACGGCUCACCAAGGCGACGAUCCGUAGCUGGUUUGAGAGGACGACCAGCCACACUGGGACUGAGACACGGCCCAGACUCCUACGGGAGGCAGCAGUGGGGAAUUUUGGACAAUGGGGGCAACCCUGAUCCAGCCAUCCCGCGUGUGCGAUGAAGGCCUUCGGGUUGUAAAGCACUUUUGGCAGGAAAGAAACGUCGCGGGCUAAUACCCCGUGGAACUGACGGUACCUGCAGAAUAAGCACCGGCUAACUACGUG